rnacentral:rRNA from 1 species
CCUACGGGAGGCUGCAGUGGGGAAUAUUGGGCAAUGGGCGCAAGCCUGACCCAGCAACGCCGCGUGAAGGAAGAAGGCUCUCGGGUUGUAAACUUCUUUUGUUAGGGACGAAGCAAGUGACGGUACUUGCCGAUUAAGCCACGGCUAACUACGUGCCAGCAGCCGCGGUAAUACGUAGGUCGCAAGCGUUAUCCGGAUUUACUGGGUGUAAAGGGCGUGUAGGCGGGACUGCAAGUCAGAUGUGAAAACCACGGGCUCAACCUGUAGCCUGCAUUUGAAACUGUAAGUCUUGUGUACUGGAGAGGCAGACGGAAUUCCUAGUGUAGCGGUGAAAUGCGUAGAUAUUAGGAGGAACACCAGUGGCGAAGGCAGUCUGCUAGACAGCAACUGACGCUGAGGCGCGAAAGCGUGGGGAGCAAACAGGAUUAGAUACCCUUGUAGUC